rnacentral:lncRNA from 1 species
UGCCUGUCAAAUCAUUAUAGUUUGCCUUUAAUGUAAUUAUAUACAUACAGUGAUAUUGUUUGCCUUAAAUUAGUGGAGAAUAAAGGCUUUUUCCCCUGGAGAAGAAUCCCAAUUUUGAAAAAAAAAUGGCUUAAAAUUAUUCCCAAAAAGACAACUUUUUUACCAAACAGUGCAGUCUCAGUAGUAAUUGUGCAUGAAUUCAAACUGAAAAACACUCAUUUAAACAAUUUUCUUGCCUAAAGUGACUAUAUGUGCACAUUUGAGGGUCUAUUUAUGUAUCAUCACGGGGUCUUAUUUUAAAACAGGGUUUGACUCUUGAAAAUGGGUCUGUAAAUUGAAGUUUCAGUCAUAUUCUUGGUUUAUUUUAAAUUUCCCAAUUUGAUGAAAAUGACGCAUAUUUUCCCAAUAAAAAAGGGUAGAGGUAGUUUUGAAAAAAGCCAACAAUAUCACUGACAUAUCA